GCGUCCUGACGUCACCGCCAGACUGGCUCGCUGAGAGACCGGCGGGAAUUUUUCAAAAUGGGAGCACCGAGGCGCCGCCCAGGCCUCAGGAGGUACCGGGGGUACCUUUCGGUGGCGUUGGCGGCGGCGGCAUAGACAAGGCAGCCUGAUGGGCUCCAAGACCCGCUGGCUGCUCGGAGCGCUGCCUCGGAGGGACUGCGACACGGCCGAGUCCGGGGCCCCGGAUGCCCGGGAACAUGGCGGCGUGCAUCGGGGAAAGGAUCGAGGACUUUAAGGUUGGAAGUCUACUUGGUAAAGGAUCAUUUGCUGGUGUCUACAGAGCAGAGUCCAUUCAUACCGGUUUGGAAGUUGCAAUCAAAAUGAUAGAUAAGAAAGCCAUGUACAAAGCUGGAAUGGUACAGAGAGUCCAAAAUGAGGUGAAAAUACAUUGCCAGUUGAAGCACCCUUCUAUUUUGGAGCUUUAUAAUUACUUUGAAGAUAACAAUUACGUGUACCUGGUAUUAGAAAUGUGCCAUAAUGGAGAAAUAAACAGGUAUCUAAAGAACCGAAUGAAACCUUUCUCAGAAAGUGAAGCUAGGCAAUUCAUGCAUCAGAUCAUCACAGGAAUGUUGUAUCUUCAUUCUCAUGGCAUAUUACACCGGGACCUCACACUCUCUAACAUCUUGCUUACACGUAAUAUGAACAUAAAAAUUGCUGACUUUGGACUGGCAACACAAUUGAAAAUGCCUCAUGAAAAGCAUUACACACUCUGUGGAACUCCUAAUUAUAUUUCACCAGAAAUUGCAACUCGAAGUGCACAUGGACUUGAAUCUGAUAUUUGGUCAUUGGGCUGUAUGUUUUAUACAUUACUUAUUGGAAGACCCCCUUUUGACACUGAUACAGUCAAGAACACAUUGAAUAAAGUAGUAUUGGCAGAUUAUGAAAUGCCAACCUUUUUGUCACGAGAGGCCCAGGACCUUAUACACCAGUUGCUUCGUAGAAAUCCUGCAGAUCGGUUAAGUCUGUCUUCUGUGUUGGACCAUCCUUUUAUGUCACGAAAUCAUUCAACAAAAAGUAAAGACUUGGGGACUGUAGAGGAUUCGAUGGAUAGUGGGCAUGCCACAAUUUCCACAACAAUUACAGCUUCUUCCAGUACCAGUUUGAGUGGUAGCUUACCUGACAGAAGAAGACUUUUGAUUGGUCAGUCACUUCCAAAUAAAAUUACUGUAUUUCCAAAAAAUAAGAAUUUAAGUGACUUUUCUUCAGGAGAUGGAAGCAAUUUUUGUACACACUGGGGAAACCCAGACCAAGAAGCUAAUAAUAGGGGGCGGGGAAGAUUAAUUGAAGAUGCAGAAGAAAGGCCGCAUUCUCGAUACCUUCGAAGAGCUCAUUCCUCUGAUAGAUCCAGCACUUCUAAUCAGUCUCGAGCAAAAACACACUCAAUAGAACGUUGUCAUUCAGUAGAAAUGCUUUCAAAGCCCAGAAGAUCCCUGGAUGAAAAUGAAAAGAGUUCCAAUCACCAUUGUCUAGGAGAAACUCCUUUUCCAUUUGCAGACCAGACGCCUCAGAUGGAAAUGGUACAACAGUGGUUUGGGAAUCUGCAAAUGAAUGCUCAUUUGGGAGAAACUAAUGAGCACAAAACCGAUAACCCAAGCAGAGAUUUCCAGGGCUAUCCAGAUUCACGGGACAUGUUAAGAAAUGCUUGGACUGAUACAAGAGCCACCAAGAAUGCUGAUAAUUCUGCUAAUGUUCAUCCUGUAAACCAGCUGAGUACGACAAAGUUUACUAUGACUGCACAUCAUAGUAAACCUGAGAUUAUUCAACAAGAGCUGGCCUUCCAUCCUCAUUCUGAACAAAGCAAGAAGAGGAGUAUGGAGUCAACACUGGGUCACCAGAAACCUUCCUUACGAAGCAUUACAUCUCCUUUGAUUGCUCACAGAUUAAAACCAAUCAGACAGAAAACCAAAAAGGCUGUGGUGAGCAUCCUAGAUUCAGAGGAAGUAUGUGUGGAGCUUCUAAAAGAAUGUACAUCUGAAGGACAUGUGAAGGAAGUUCUUCAGAUAUCUAGUGACGGGACUAUGAUCACUGUUUAUUACCCAAAUGAUGGAAGAGGCUUUCCUCUUGCUGAUAAACCACCCUUGCCUACAGACAACAUCAGUAGAUACAGCUUUGACAAUUUACCAGAAAAAUACUGGCGGAAAUAUCAGUAUGCUUCCAGAUUUAUUCAGCUCGUAAGGUCUAAAACUCCCAAAAUCACUUAUUUUACAAGAUAUGCUAAAUGUAUUUUGAUGGAGAAUUCUCCUGGUGCUGAUUUCGAGGUUUGGUUUUAUGAUGGAGCCAAGAUACACAAAACAGAAGAUUUAAUUCACAUGAUUGAAAAAUCUGGUAAAUCUUAUACUUUAAAAAAUGAAAGUGAAAUUAUGAGCUUGAAAGAGGAAAUGAAAAUAUAUAUGGACCAUGCUAAUGAGGGUCACCGUGUCUGCUUGGCACUGGAAUCUGUAAUCUCAGAAGAGGAAAAGAGAAGCAGGAGCUCUUCAUUCUUCCCAAUAAUUAUAGGAAGAAAACCUGGUAAUACUAGUUCACCUAAAGCCUUAUCACCACCUCCUGUGGACCUAAGCUACUCAAAGGGUGAGCAAGCAUCAACGAGCAGAUUGAGCAUGAAUAGUGCGGCAUUUCCAACACAGGCACCACUACACAAUCCUUCUACUGCUACAGCUGAAGGACUUGGCCACACAGCCACUGCCACAGGAGCAAGUUUCUCUUCUUCGAGUCUUCCUAAAUCAGCACAGCUUUUGAAAUCUGUUUUUGUGAAAAAUGUUGGUUGGGCUACACAGCUAACUAGUGGAGCUGUGUGGGUUCAGUUUAAUGAUGGUUCGCAGCUGGUUGUCCAAGCAGGGGUGUCUUCCGUUAGUUACACAUCACCAGAUGGUCAGACAACUAGGUAUUGAACCUUGUGAAUGCAUUGCAAGCCUUCUAACUGAACUGUACCACCCAGCACUGACAUUUUUGAAAGCAAACUACUAGUCCUGACAAUAUAUAAGUGCUGUCUCUAAGUGUUCAACUAAUCACAGAUCAAAAAUAUAAAAAUACUAUGGUUGUACUGAGAUACAACUCUAUCAAAACAAGUGUUCUGUUUUUUAAAAGAAACAAAUUGGGUGUACUUCAUUUGUUUUUGGAAUCCUAGUAUGGAGAAAAUGAAAAAUUACCAGAAUACAUCAAACAGAAAUUACAGUGUCUCUCUUCCAUCCUUGUGAUGUUUUCUAAUCCAACUCCUAGUUUUCAUUAAUUCAAGUCCUUUCAGGUGUCUUUAUUUAAUAAAUGACUUUUUGGUUGGCUUUCAAGUAAAGUGAGGGUUUUUUUUGUUUUGUUUUGUUUAAUUUACUGUAACUUCAGAAAGCCUUUCUAUGGCCAGGCGGUGGUGGCGCACGCCUUUAAUCCCAGCACUCGGGAGGCAGAGGCAGGUGGACCUCUGUGAGUUUGAGACCAGCCUGGUCUACAAGAGCUAGUUCCAGGACAGCCUCCAAAGCCACAGAGAAACCCUGUCUCGGAAAACCAAAAAAAAAGCCUUUCUAUUAAACAGAAAUUUAAUCUUUAUCAUAAAAAAUAAAAAAUAUAUGCUAAGAAAACAAAAUAGAAUAAAACUUUUAUUACCAAAUACAGUGGUUAUAAAAUAAACUAGGACAUCUGAUUUUGCUCAAAGUACUUAAUUGCUCAAACUUUCUGUGCUCAUGUUUGUAUUGAACUAAAUUGUGUGUGGUGUGUUUGUUUUUGUUGUUCUGUACUAGUAAGUCAUUGAGAAUCAUGAACAAAACAUGUUAUAGCUUUGAAUAUGUAAAUAAUGUACUUAUAAGCAAUAUGUAAACAUGUAUAUUUUGUAUUUAUUUUUGUAGCACUUGUGUCUGAUAAAAUAUUUCUGCAAAUACAUUUUAUAAAAUAAA